CAAACAAGGCUGUAGCCUUUAGAUGGCGUAACAGGCAACUUGUGUAUGAGGCCAAGUUAGCCCGAACCGCUAUCCAUAUGCUGCUGCUCCAUCUC
rnacentral:pre_miRNA from 1 species